rnacentral:rRNA from 1 species
UGACACAGGGGGGUAGUGACAAGAAAUAACAAUACAGGGCUUUCGUCUUGUAUUGGAUGAUGGUGAUGUACAACCUCACCAGAGUACCAAUUGGAGGGCAAGUCUGGUGCCAGCAGCCGCGGUAAUUCCAGCUCCAAUAGCGUAUAUUAAACUUGUUGCAGUUAAAAAGCUCGUAGUUGUAUUUCAGCCUCGCGUUUUUUCCCUGGUUUUGGGUCUUUUCGCUGGCUUUUUUUUUACUUUGAGAAAAUUAGAGUGUUUCAAGCAGACUUUUGUCUUGAAUACUUCAGCAUGGAAUAAUAGAGUAGGACCUUGGUUCUAUUUUGUUGGUUUCGAGCCUUGGUAAUGGUUAAUAGGAACGGUUGGGGGCAUUCGUAUUUAACUGUCAGAGGUGAAAUUCUUAGA